GAUGAACGCUGGCGGCGUGCCUAAUACAUGCAAGUCGAGCGAACAGACGAGGAGCUUGCUCCUCUGAUGUUAGCGGCGGACGGGUGAGUAACACGUGGAUAACCUACCUAUAAGACUGGGAUAACUUCGGGAAACCGGAGCUAAUACCGGAUAACAUGUUGAACCGCAUGGUUCAACAGUGAAAGACGGUCUUGCUGUCACUUAUAGAUGGAUCCGCGCCGCAUUAGCUAGUUGGUAAGGUAACGGCUUACCAAGGCAACGAUGCGUAGCCGACCUGAGAGGGUGAUAGGCCACACUGGAACUGAGACACGGUCAAGACUCCUACGGGAGGCAGCAGUAGGGAAUCUUCCGCAAUGGGCGAAAGCCUGACGGAGCAACGCCGCGUGAGUGAAGAAGGUCUUCGGAUCGUAAAACUCUGUUAUUAGGGAAGAACAAAUGUGUAAGUAACUAUGCACGUCUUGACGGUACCUAAUCAGAAAGCCACGGCUAACUACGUG
rnacentral:rRNA from 1 species